AACGCACAUUGCACCUUCUGGCAUUCUGGGAGGUAUGCCUGUUCGAGCGUCAUUACAACCAUCAAGCAUAAGCUUGGUAUUGGAUGCCACCGCUUUUGGUGCAUCUCAAAAUCAGUGGCAGGCACCACUCAGCUCCAAGCGUAGUAAAUUUCUCGCUCCUGGAGUUGUGUUUGUACCUGCUAGAGCCCCUAAUUUAUCAAGGUUUGACCUCGGAUCAGGUAGGGAUACCCGCUGAACUUAA
rnacentral:misc_RNA from 1 species